rnacentral:rRNA from 1 species
CAGCAGCCGCGGGAAUACGAAGGGUGCAAGCGCUAAUCGGAAUUACUGGGCGUAAAGCGUGCGUAGGCGGUUUGUUAAGUCUGUUGUGAAAUCCCCGGGCUCAACCUGGGAAUGGCAAUGGAUACUGGCAAGCUAGAGUGUGUCAGAGGAUGGUGGAAUUCCCGGUGUAGCGGUGAAAUGCGUAGAGAUCGGAAGGAACAUCAGUGGCGAAGGCGGCCAUCUGGGACAACACUGACGCUGAGGCACGAAAGCGUGGGGAGCAAACAGGAUUAGAUACCCGUGUAGUCCCUGUCUCUUAUAC